rnacentral:rRNA from 1 species
GAUGAACGCUGGCGGCGUGCUUAACACAUGCAAGUCGAACGGAAAGGCCCAAGCUUGCUUGGGUACUCGAGUGGCGAACGGGUGAGUAACACGUGGGUGAUCUGCCCUGCACUUCGGGAUAAGCCUGGGAAACUGGGUCUAAUACCGGAUAGGACCAUGGUUUGGAUGCCAUUGUGGAAAGUUUUUUCGGUGUGGGAUGAGCUCGCGGCCUAUCAGCUUGUUGGUGGGGUAAUGGCCUACCAAGGCGUUGACGGGUAGCCGGCCUGAGAGGGUGUACGGCCACAUUGGGGAUGAGGAACGGGCCAGGAUCCUACGGGAGGCAGGAGUGGGGAAUAUUGGACAAUGGGGGGAAGCCUGAUGCAGCGACGCCGCGUGGGGGAUGACGGCCUUUGGGGUGUAAACUCCUUUCGCUAGGGAAGAAGCGUUUUUGUGACGGUACCUGGAGAAGAAGCACCGGCUAACUACGUG